GACGAACGCUGGCGGCGUGCCUAAUACAUGCAAGUUGAGCGAUGAAGAUUGGUGCUUGCACCAAUUUGAAGAGCAGCGAGCGGGUGAGUAACGCGUGGGGAAUCUGCCUUUGAGCGGGGGACAACAUUUGGAAACGAAUGCUAAUACCGCAUAACAACUUUAAACAUAAGUUUUAAGUUUGAAAGAUGCAAUUGCAUCACUCAAAGAUGAUCCCGCGUUGUAUUAGCUAGUUGGUGAGGUAAAGGCUCACCAAGGCGAUGAUACAUAGCCGACCUGAGAGGGUGAUCGGCCACAUUGGGACUGAGACACGGCCCAAACUCCUACGGGAGGCAGCAGUAGGGAAUCUUCGGCAAUGGACGAAAGUCUGGCCGAGCAACGCCGCGUGAGUGAAGAAGGUUUUCGGAUCGUAAAACUCUGUUGGUAGAGAAGAACGUUGGUGAGAGUGGAAAGCUCAUCAAGUGACGGUAACUACCCAGAAAGGGACGGCUAACUACGUG
rnacentral:rRNA from 1 species